UGGUGGUGCAUGGCCGUUCUUAGUUGGUGGAGUGAUUUGUCUGGUUAAUUCCGUUAACGAACGAGACCCCUGCCUGCUAAAUAGUUACACUAAUGUUUUAUUUGUGUUAACUUCUUAGAGGGACUUUCAGUGACUAACUGAAGGAAGAUGGGGGCAAUAACAGGUCUGUGAUGCCCUUAGAUGUCCUGGGCCGCACGCGCGCUACACUGAUGCAUUCAAUAAGUCUUUCCUUGGCCGAGAGGCUUAGGUAAACUUUUAAUAUGUUUCGUGAUAGGGAUUGAAUCUUGUAAUUAUUAUUCAUGAACGAGGAAUUCCUAGUAACCGCAGAUCAUUAAUCUGCAGUGAUUACGUCCCUGCCCUUUGUACACACCGCCCGCCGCACCUACCGAUUGAAUGAUCCGGUGAGGACUGGAGAUUAAGGCAAUCUUUCUUCACUGGAAGUGCGCCAUGAGAACUUGUCCAAAUCUAUCAUUAGAGAAGGGAAGUCGAGCAGAAAUAGG
rnacentral:rRNA from 1 species